GAUGAACGCUAGCGGCAGGCUUAAUACAUGCAAGUCGAGGGGCAGCAUGACUGUAGCAAUACAGUUGAUGGCGACCGGCAAACGGGUGCGGAACACGUACAGAACCUUCCUUCGAGCGGGGAAUAGCCCAGAGAAAUUUGGAUUAAUACCCCAUAGUAUAUUGGAGUGGCAUCACUUUGAUAUUAAAGAUUUAUCACUUGAAGAUGGCUGUGCGGCUGAUUAGGUAGUUGGCGGGGUAACGGCCCACCAAGCCUGCGAUCAGUAACUGGUGUGAGAGCACGACCAGUCACACGGGCACGGAGACACGGGCCCGACUCCUACGGGAGGCAGCAGUAAGGAAUAUUGUUCAAUGGACGAAAGUCUGAACCAGCCAUGCCGCGUGGAGGAUGAAGGUCCUCUGGAUUGUAAACUUCUUUUAUAUGGGACGAAAAAAGGCUUUUCUAAGUCGUCUGACGGUACCAUAUGAAUAAGCACCGGCUAACUCCGUGCCAGCAGCCGCCGUAAGAC
rnacentral:rRNA from 1 species